rnacentral:rRNA from 1 species
UCGCGUGUUGGCUGGGCGCAGCCUGAUCCAGCAUGCCGCGUGUGUGAAGAAGGUCUUCGGAUUGUAAAGCACUUUUGGCAGGGACGAUGAUGACGGUACCUGCAGAAUAAGCCCCGGCUAACUUCGUGCCAGCAGCCGCGGUAAUAAAC